CCCGCUGAACUUAAGCAUAUCAAUAAGCGGAGGAAAAGAAACCAACAGGGAUUACCCUAGUAACGGCGAGUGAAGCGGUAACAGCUCAAAUUUAAAAUCUGGCAGUCUUUGGCUGUCCGAGUUGUAAUCUAGAGAAGUAUUAUCCGCGCUGGACCGUGUACAAGUCUCCUGGAAUGGAGCGUCAUAGAGGGUGAGAAUCCCGUCUUUGACACGGACUGCCAGGGCUUUGUGAUAUGCUCUCAGAGAGUCGAGUUGUUUGGGAAUGCAGCUCAAAAUGGGUGGUAAAUUCCAUCUAAAGCUAAAUAUUGGCGAGAGACCGAUAGCGAACAAGUACCGUGAGGGAAAGAUGAAAAGAACUUUGGAAAGAGAGUUAAACAGUACGUGAAAUUGCUGAAAGGGAAACGCUUGAAGUCAGUCGCGUUGUCCAGGGAUCAACCUUGCUUUUGCUUGGCGUACUUUCUGGUCGAUGGGUCAGCAUCAAUUUUGACUGGUGGAAAAAGUUCAAGGGAAUGUGGCAUCUUCGGAUGUGUUAUAGCCUUUGUUCACAUACAUUGGUUGGGAUUGAGGAACUCAGCACGCCGCAAGGCCGGGUUUUUAACCACGUACGUGCUUAGGAUGCUGGCAUAAUGGCUUUAAUCGACCCGUCUUGAAACACGG
rnacentral:rRNA from 1 species